AAAGUGGAUAUAGGAGGAAAUAUCAUUACAACAUAAUUAAAAACUCUUUAGUACAAAUAAAAUAGCUCAUUCAAGAUGAGAGAGGCAUAUAAGUGGAGCCCUCGUCACCUUUUGUCUUAUUCUUAUACUAUUCAGGAUAUAAUAUACUCAUGCUAUAAUGAGUAGUUUCCAGUGCCAGGUUCUGUGACUUCUUCAAAACUUGAUACUGCAAGUGUAACCAAAAAAUGAAUCAUGAGAUAAUGAAUCUCAAAUAAAAGAUACCUAACUUUGUAAAACAUUAUUGUAGUUUGCAUAGUGAGCUGAGGUAAUUACCCAUGUUAGUGAUGAGAUUGAAAUUCAUGAAAACAUUAAAAAAAAAUUGAAUAAAAACUUCUUUUUAUGGAUAAUUAUAUAAUCAUAACAAUUUUCUCAUUCAUUUCAUUUACAUAUAUUAUAUUUUCAUAUCACAUAUUUCUCAUUCCAUUUUUUGAGUCAUCAUCAUGUAAGAUAAAAAUAGUUCAAGCUGACUCUUUUGUCACUUCCAAUAAUCAUUUAUCUUUAUAUUACGAGUUUUAUGCAAUAAUAUUUUAAAAAUACUUUUACUAAAAAAUCAAACUUAAAACUAAUUUUUUUUUCUUUUUAUCCGUUUCAUUCUUUCUUUGAUAGAUGUUAUCUUAUUUAUUUGAGAUCAACAUACUUUUAUCUAUCAACUAGCUUUUUCACAAUAAGAUGAUUUUUCUUUAGUUUAUAUAUGGUUGAACGAACUAUAGAAGUUUAUGUUUGAAAAAACAUAAUGAUAUACUUUUACAUUUAUUUACAUAGAAUAUAAACAUAAAAUAAUUAUAAAUGUAUAAAGUUUUGUAUUUUUUUAGAAUAAAAGAGUUUAAAAAGUAAGAAAUAAUAAUAUCAAAUGUAUAUGUAUGAAAGAAUAAUUAAAAAAAAAAAGUCUUUUUAACAAUUUUUUUUUACAAUUUUUUUGAUAACGUGACAGUUUGUGAUUGGUCUAUUUCAAAUAUUUUUUAGAAUAAAUUAAAACAGACCAAUAGAAUUGUGACACGUGUUCUGUUAUAAAAAAAGGUGUUAAAAAAGAAUUGUUAAAAUAUUAUUUUCUUAAAAAAAUAGUAAAAGAAUUUAAAAAGACGCAUAUUGACUUAUUUAUAGACUAAUUUUAAUUAUAAAAUAUAAGUUUGGAAAACUACAAAAAAGAAUUUGAACAAUGGAUUUUUUUUGUCUUACCUAGCGCAGUUGGUGGAGGUGCUGAUCUUGUAGGGGAUGCUGACGCCACACUUGCCCGGGAGUAUGGCUGCGUUGUUAGCAUUGAAUCCACCGAUCCUGCCGGCCUCGCUUUUGAGGCAAUUGCACACGGCCUGGCGGUCUGGGGUGGUCUUUGCGGCGGCGUUGAGGGACUUCACUCCGGCGCAGCAUGACGGCGGCACGAUCCCACCCUUGGUGAUGAAUGGGAUGCAUGAAGUGAGGGAACUUGCGACCUGGCCGCAGGUGAUGGCAUGUGCCGUGGGUGCGGUGGCAACCACCAAGCACAGGAGGGCAACGACGCACGCACACUUGAUGCUGGCCAUGGAAACUAACAAUGAAGGAGUAGCGAAUUGAAGAAAUGGGAUUUGGUUUAGGGUUUGGAAGAAAUUGAUUGAGUUGGUGAGUGAGAGGGUUGCGGGGUGUGGGCUUUAUAUAGAAGAAGGGAAGCUGAAGGAACUACUGGUGAAGUGAAGUCGUGUAUGUGACCCUCACUGAUAACUGUUUUUCUGUAUUUUUAAAAAAGAAGAAAAAGAAAAAGAAAAUAAUAUUAAAUUAAUGUAAAAAAUUUUAAUACGUUAAAAAUUAAUUUUUAUUCACUGAAUAAAUUAAUGAUCAUUAAUCCAAACAAUAUUAAAAAUACGUGAUGACUUAAGAUCAAAACAAAAUAUUAUAUAAAUAAAGAAAAACUUACGGUUACCUAAAUUAAAAUUUGCUAAUUUCACGUAAAUUUUAGUCUAUUGUAAUUUUCUAAUUCUACUUAAUUCAAAAUUUGAAUUAUAUCGUAUAAAAAAAUAGUUUCUUUUACUAAUCUAAGUAAAGAUUUUAUGAAAAGUGACGUAAAGAGUAAUUGGAGAUUACCGACAGUAGUGGGAACAGGGGAAGAAGGGCUGUAAGUUGGUGGUGGCAAGAAUUUACACGAUUAGUAGGGUAAUACUAAUUACAAGUUUAAAUUAAUUUUGUAAUAUUAUUGUUUCAUCUCAUAAAUUAUAUUGUUUAAAUACUUUUUUUUUAUUUUACUAAAUAUUUUUUAAACAAAAUCAUAACAGAUAAAAUUUAAAAAUAAAUAAUAUUUUAAAUUUACAGUAAUUGAUGUAACAAUGUGAUUCGAUAGAUUUAGUAUGGAAACAAAUACAAUUAUAUUAAUUGAAAAAAGAAAAGAACAUCAAUUUAUAUACCAAAAGAUGUUCAUCCAAGUAAGAUUCAAUAUAUUUAUCACAAUGAAAGACACAAGAAGUACUUUCAAAAGAGUUUUUUUUUUUCUUUUUUUUUUUUCAAUUUUUAGACUUUUUUUAAUUAGCAACCUUAAAAACAUGUCAGAACGAAAUUCAAACGGUAUGUUGCUGUGUUAAAUCUAAAGUGGUUUCCCAGUUCUUGUAAUUCAUUUUACUCAAAUUUGAAGACUUUCUUCCGAUCCUUCCGAAUUUACCCCAAAAAUAAAUAAUUGGUCACCAUGAUUACUCCAACUAUUCUUAAUAUAUGUUCAGACUUUUCUAUUAUUAUACAUUGGAAAUUCCAUACAAACAAAAAAAUAAUUUUCCUUCAUAUUAUAUAAGUAACAAUAAAUUCAGGUAUUUUAGUUUAUGAGAUUUAGUGAGAAUCCGUCAUAAACAUUUUUUAAGUUAUUUUAGUUCCUUAUUAGUAUUUUGUUAGAUAUGAACAUUGAAGUAUAAUAAAAAAAAUUAAAUUUAUUAAUAAAAUUCAUCAAUAAUCAUAAAUUUUGAUAAAAUGAUUAUCAACAAAUUUUAUGAUGAAAAAAUCUAUUGAUAAUUACCAAUAAUAAAAAAGUGAUAAUUAUUUAUUAAUAAUUAUAAACUAUCAAAAUCUUUUAGUAAAUAUUUUAUCUUUUUCAUUUUUCAUUUUUCUUCUUCUUUCUCUUUCUCUUUCUUCUUUUCUAUCACAAAAUUUGUUUUUCCUUCUCCUCUUUUUCAAUACUAACAAAUUUAUUCAUAAAUUUUACCACAACAAAAUAAGUACUCAAAGUAAGAACUUUUAUUUUAUUGAAAAAAUUUAUUAAUAAUAAUAAUGAUUGAUAACAAACAUUAUAACUUAGUGAUAGAUCUAUUACAUACAAAUAUUUCUAUCAAAAAGAAAUAUUUUAAUUUAUCGAUAAAUAUUACGGAUAAAUUUAUUACUGAUAUAUAUUUCUAUUGAUAAUUAAAAUUUUAAAAUUUUAUCAAUAAAAUUAUUUUGACAAUUAAUUAUUUGUUGUCAGUAUUAAUUAUUUUUGUUAGUAAAGUUUAAUUUAACAUUUUCUUGAAGUUGAACAGGAUAAAUGAAAUGUUUGUAUAUUAUUUUUUCUAUAAGAAGAGUAUUGAAGCCCAAAAUGCUUUGUCAAAGUUUCUUGUUCCAUUACGUAUGAUGGUAUAUUGAAUUCGUUCUCACUUUCUUUUUACUUUUUUUUUUUUUUGUCUAUUUGUCGGUUAUUUAUCCUCUUUUACGUUAUUUUCGUUUGUCUAUAUUGUCCACUUUUAUUUGUCUUGUCCCUCCAUUUAUAUGCACCUAAAGAUAAGUUUAAUCUACUUUUCCUUAUUUAUUUUCAAUUUCAUAUCGAAAAAUAUUUUUAUUAUAUUUGAAAUAAAGGAGAAAUAAAACAGAAAAAAAUAAUUAUAUAUAUUUAUAUAUAGUCGUCAAAAUGGAUUGAAACUCGUAAGUCAAUUCGGUUUACCACGGGUUUGAGUCGGGUUGGGUUAGAAAAAAUGCAAAAAUUUAGAUGCGAGCCAAUUUUAACCUGACUCACUAAGAAUCCGGCUCACACAGGUUGAACCCUUGAUAGGUCGGAUUGGUUCCCCAACCCACCUAUUUUUUUUUUAAAUUAAAUUAAUUAUUCAAAUCCUAUUUUUUAUCAAAAUCAAAUUAAUCAAAUUAAUUAUUCAAUAUUAUUAGUUAACACUGUUUUUUAUUGUAUUGUAGAUGGAGAUAAAGAAGAAGACGUUUCAAGAAAGCAUAAUACUGUGGAUCUAUCCAUUCAAGACUCCAAUUUAAUAGAUGAAUAAUAUUAUAGAUUGGAUAAUUCAAGAAUAUAUCAUUUGUUUUAUUUUGUUUUUAGACCUAUUUACAAGCAUGACAAUUUUAUGUUGUGUUAUAUAUUUUUGUUAUCGACUAUAUGUAAUUUCUUGGUCAAAUGGUUGUAUAUGUCUCAUUAAAGUAAAUUGAUUUUAUGCUUGAUAGCUUAGAAUAUAUAUCAAUUGGUCCAAUCAUUAUUGUUUCAAUUUGAUCGAUCAAAGUAACAUGUUAUAAGAAUCUCAGAAGAAGAUGGUGAAAAAAAAGUUAAUUAAGUGAGUCAAUGAGCCAACUCGUUUAACCCACCAACUCGUAGUGGAUCGGGUCAGGUUCAAAUUUUUUCGGCUCGCUAAUAAAUAAGCUGGGUUGAAUUAACUCACUAAAUGAUCAAACUGUGAUGAGUCGAGUCGGGUCAUCCUACUCAUUUUGAUAACUAAUAAAUGAGAGGGGUAGGAUUCACUCAUUACGUCAUCAAGUCUACUUAUAUAUAAAGAUAUUCUCUCUCUCUUUUUUUAUUGUUUUAUUUAAAUUUAAUUGAUUUUUAUAAUUUAAUUUUUUUAAAACUAAAUAAAUAAAAAUAAUUUAAAAAUAAAUAAAAACUAUGUAUAAUUAAAUUAUAAAAAUUAUUUAUAGUUUAUUAUUAUUUAUUAUCAUAAAAAAAAUGUAAAAACAUAUAUUUUCAUCAGUGAAAUAAUAAUUUCCCUCUCAAUAUUUAGUUUAUAGAAUUUUAUCACUAGAUUUUUUAUGUUUUUUUUCAGUAAUAAAUAAUAUGUUAAUAAAAAAAAUACUUAAGUUUACAUACCUAUAUCUAUAAAGAAACUAAUGUUCGAAAUAACUAAUUAGUUAAAAUGUGUCUAACCUCGUUUUCACACAAACCAAAACUUAUAUACCAAAUUCCCAAAACCAUCAUUUUUUUGUCUUUUCCAUACAAAUAAAUAAAUAAAUAAAUAAAUAAAUAAAUAAAUAAAUAUAUAUAUAUAUAUAUAUAUAUAUAUAUAUAUAUNNNNNNNNNNNNNNNNNNNNNNNNNNNNNNNNNNNNNNNNNNNNNNNNNNNNNNNNNNNNNNNNNNNNNNNNNNNNNNNNNNNNNNNNNNNNNNNNNNNNNNNNNNNNNNNNNNNNNNNNNNNNNNNNNNNNNNNNNNNNNNNNNNNNNNNNNNNNNNNNNNNNNNNNNNNNNNNNNNNNNNNNNNNNNNNNNNNNNNNNNNNNNNNNNNNNNNNNNNNNNNNNNNNNNNNNNNNNNNNNNNNNNNNNNNNNNNNNNNNNNNNNNNNNNNNNNNNNNNNNNNNNNNNNNNNNNNNNNNNNNNNNNNNNNNNNNNNNNNNNNNNNNNNNNNNNNNNNNNNNNNNNNNNNNNNNNNNNNNNNNNNNNNNNNNNNNNNNNNNNNNNNNNNNNNNNNNNNNNNNNNNNNNNNNNNNNNNNNNNNNNNNNNNNNNNNNNNNNNNNNNNNNNNNNNNNNNNNNNNNNNNNNNNNNNNNNNNNNNNNNNNNNNNNNNNNNNNNNNNNNNNNNNNNNNNNNNNNNNNNNNNNNNNNNNNNNNNNNNNNNNNNNNNNNNNNNNNNNNNNNNNNNNNNNNNNNNNNNNNNNNNNNNNNNNNNNNNNNNNNNNNNNNNNNNNNNNNNNNNNNNNNNNNNNNNNNNNNNNNNNNNNNNNNNNNNNNNNNNNNNNNNNNNNNNNNNNNNNNNNNNNNNNNNNNNNNNNNNNNNNNNNNNNNNNNNNNNNNNNNNNNNNNNNNNNNNNNNNNNNNNNNNNNNNNNNNNNNNNNNNNNNNNNNNNNNNNNNNNNNNNNNNNNNNNNNNNNNNNNNNNNNNNNNNNNNNNNNNNNNNNNNNNNNNNNNNNNNNNNNNNNNNNNNNNNNNNNNNNNNNNNNNNNNNNNNNNNNNNNNNNNNNNNNNNNNNNNNNNNNNNNNNNNNNNNNNNNNNNNNNNNNNNNNNNNNNNNNNNNNNNNNNNNNNNNNNNNNNNNNNNNNNNNNNNNNNNNNNNNNNNNNNNNNNNNNNNNNNNNNNNNNNNNNNNNNNNNNNNNNNNNNNNNNNNNNNNNNNNNNNNNNNNNNNNNNNNNNNNNNNNNNNNNNNNNNNNNNNNNNNNNNNNNNNNNNNNNNNNNNNNNNNNNNNNNNNNNNNNNNNNNNNNNNNNNNNNNNNNNNNNNNNNNNNNNNNNNNNNNNNNNNNNNNNNNNNNNNNNNNUAUAUAUAUAUUGAGACCAGUGGAGGAAGAAAUUUUUAUAUGUUUCCACUUUUAAUUUAGGCAAUAUUAAAUUUUAUUUUAUUUUCACCAAUCUCUUUCUUAAUUCUCGUAUUUUCUUUCCUCUAUCUCUUUCUAUCGCAGUUCUCUCCGCAGGAACAAAUUGCCAGUCGUUUUUCAUAAUUUUUCAAUCAUUAAUUUUAAAAAGUAUAUUUUUUCUCUAUAUUAAAUUUAAAUUUUUUUAAAAAUUACAAUGUACUGUUUCCAAAUUUAGCAGGACUAAUGUUACAAGAAAUUAAAUCAAAAACUUAAACAAAUAUUUAAAAAAGGAAAAAGAUUAGAGCAAUACUUUAAAAAUAUGUAAAUUUUUAGAUGAUAAUAAUAAUUGUUUUUUUUUUUCAGUUAAAGUGAUAAAAAAAAGGUCUUGUCACUUUAUUGCUAGUUGUUUGUUGGAGGUUGAAUUCCAUUGAAUGCAACAAACAUGUUUCAUCGUUUUGUCAAUCUGGUACAAGAUCAAACAUUUGAUGCCAACACGUAUUUCUUAAGUAUCACUAUCAACAACGCUACAAUGUGCCACAUACUCCAUUAUUGAAUUUAGUUGAGAAAAACAAGACAUAUGAACAAAACCAGAACUUGAUGAAUUUCUUCUAGCAAAACUAUUUAUUCACCAAAUUGUAUAAUUGGUUCGGCAGCGUCGGUUGUUAUGUCAAGUUCCAGUAAUUUAACUUUUAUGCUUUUCUGAUUUUUCUUCUUAAUUCUUCAUUCUUCACAUCUCCUUUUACUUCUUUAAAUUUCUGUUAAAAUAGGAAAGAUAACUUUAUUUGUAGAAUUGUCUGUUUCUUUUUCUAAAAUUUUAUGGUUUCAAACAAGAAAUUAAAAGAUAAGGUUUCAAUUUGUGGUUUAGAUUUUGUUCAGGGAGAAAGAUGAAAAUAUUUACUUUUACUCUUAGUUUUAAUUAUAUAAAAAAAAAAUUGUAAAUUGAUUUAUGUUAUUAUUUUCUAAUUAAUUUUUUUUCUUUUCCUUAGAUUUUAACUAUUACACUAAAAUUAUAUAUAUAUAUAUAUAUAUAUAUAUAUAUAUAUAUAUAUAUAUAUAUAUAUAUAUAUAUAUUCUUCGUACAUAUAAUAUAAUCAUAAAUCACCAUCUUUCUAAAAUGAACGAACGGAAAAAGAUGAAAAAUAUAAUUUUAGUAAAUUAUAGAAUAUCUUGUCUAUUUCUAAUUUAUCCCAUUUCUUCUUCUUCUUUUCUUCUAUCUUUUAAUUAAUUUAUUCUAUAUUUUAUUUUUAUCUAUUUUCACGUUUGUAAUAUAUUUUUAUUAAACAUAUUUUUCUCCUAUCUAACAAACGUAAUUUUUCUAAUAUAUUUUUAUGGUUCCCGUUGUAGUAAGAUGUGAGAACAACAAAAGGAGCUAUGAGUAAUUCAUUCAUUAUGCUAUCUUCUCAACUAAUUUAGGUUUUUUAUGUAAUGGAAUUAUAUAAUGCAGAAAUCUCUUUCAGGUGAUUAAAUGUCACCCACUCACCUAUAUUGUCCUUAAAUUAUGUCGUUAUCAUUGUUAAUGGCUUUAGAUAUCUAAAAGUGGCAUAAGAUUGGUAUUAGUCUAUUUAUAAGGUGAUAAUGUGGAAGUUUGGAAUCUAUAAGAUUGGUAAGCCUUUAUUAUUUGUGAUGAUGUGGCUGUACCUGAAUUCAAUGAUAUAUUGAUAUUGUGAAUAUGUUUAAAUUUGUAAGACUUUAUUAUAUAUUAAUUACUUUUUAUAAUCUUAGAUGCAGUCUUUGUAUUAUUUUAAAGUUGUUAUUGUGUAAGUGAAAAAAACAAAUAUAUUCUUCACUCUUUUUAACAGAUAAUAGAAGAAAUACUAUUAUAAAAAUAAAAAUAAAAAUAGAAGUACAAAGUAACUUAACAAAAGUUAAUAAAGGAAUCGGGUUAUUAAGUCAGAAGAAUUAGGUUAAUAGAAGUGAAUUUAUUCUUGAACGUGACAAAGUUUUGGUGAAUAUAUCAAUCACUUGAUAUUUAACUUUGACAUAAAUCAGUUUAACGAAUUUAUUGUUUACUAGUUUAACUUUGAUAUAAAUAAGACAUGUUGCAAACGUGACAUUCCAUAUUUAUAUAUAUAUGGGGUUUGUUAACACGCGUACGUCUGUUUUUCAGUUGGUACGUUUUAACAAUGUGUACCGGAUUAUAGUAGACAAAAAUACCCUCAUAUAUCAUGGAUUCUAUGUUUUAAGGUCAAGGGUAUUUAAAUAAUUUUCAUUCUCAAAACUAAAAAAAAAAAGAAACCCCAAACCCUUACUCACCUCCCUCAUUCCUCUCAACCCUUUCUCUUUCAUCUCUCUCACUCCAACAUUUUUUCUGUCAUUUCUAUUGUAGCCCCAAUUAAAAAAAAUUAGAAACACUGCAAUUUCUUACAAAAAAUGAUUUUAUAAUGAGUUUUCAUUUUAUAAUUUUUGUCUUAUCUAAUUUUAUCUAAUUUUCACAAGCAUAAUGACAUAUGAAAGAAUUGGUAAUUCGCCUGGAAAAAAAAAUUAGAAACACUCGGUAUUAAACAAUUUCUUAGAAAAAAUGAUUUUAUAAUGAGUUUUCAUUUUAUAAUUUUUGUCUUAUCUAAUUUUAUCUAAUUUUCAUAAGCAUAAUGACAUCAGAAGGAAUUGGUAAUUGGCCUGAAGGUUUUUUAAGAGAUGACGAUUCAAUAUCUGCAGAUGAUGAAAUUAGAGAGGUUAGUGAAGAUAAUGAAAUUGAAGAGAUCUUGAAUGAACAUUUGCCUGAAGGCGAAUAUGCCAAUGACUCAACUCUUUAGAAAGGUAAAUUGUUUAACGAGGAGUAUUUCUAUUUUUUUUUUCAGUUGGACCUAUCAUAGGAUGAUAGAGAAAAGGUUGGAGUGAGAGAAAUGAAAGAGAAAAGAUUGAGAGGAAUGAAAGAGGUGAAUAAGGAUUUGGGGGUUUCUUUUUUUAGUUUUCAGAAUUAAAAUUAUUUAAAUAUCCUUGACUUUAAAACUUAGAAUCCAUAAUAUAUGAGAGUAUUUUUGUCUACUAUAAUCCGGUACACAUUGUUAAAACGUACCAACUAAAAAACAGGCGUACGCGUGUUAACAAACCCCUAUAUAUAUAUAUAUAUAAAUAUGUCAUCAAUCAUAUAAUAGAAAGUAGUUAAGACAGUAGUUAAUGUAUUUAGGAUUAUAGUUAUUCUUAAAAGAGAAUUAGAAUUUAAAACUAGAGUAGAGUCCUCCUUCAAAAAUGCUAGAAAUUUUAAAACUUUAAAACAUGAUAAAGUUCUUCAAAAUAACUUAGGCUAAGAGAAAUAAAGCCUAGUGGACUAGAUUGCAGCAUCGCCAUCUCCUUCCAAAGCUGUCUCCAAAGGAACCUUAUCUUCCUCUGCUCACAUCAAAGUGGACGAUCAUUGUAAAAGAAAGCACAUACAACAAGCAAUACAAACAAGCAAGGGUGAGCUAAUUAUAUUUAAAACAUUCAUCAUAGGAGCAUAUACAUACAAGAGUAAACUUCAUUCAAUAUCAAUUUAAAGCAUACAUCUUAACAUGUGAUAUUCUAGACUUGACUCAUACCAAUUUAACCAAUACAUAAGCAUGUAACAACCAAGUACUUCAAGCAUGCAAGGACCAUAACACAAUACAGACUAUGACCAAAUGCAUUAUUCUGAUACUAAUGACCGACCACGUGAUUUGACUAUCCGGACUAGUAUGAAAUGUCAAGUUCCAGGGGUUUGUGCACCCGAGUGGUGUAGUAACCGGAAAAUCAUCAGCUGUCACCCAAGGUUAGUCCGUUAUAACUCACCAAAGAACCUAUGGGUUAGGACCUCCUGCUAUUCUCACCACAUGACUCAUCACUCUCUACUUGAGCAUGGAUGAUCAUUAGAAUGUUAGGAUAAACCCUAUAAGGACUCUCUGGCCAUUCAUACGGUCAAUCACAACAAACCAAAGGGCACCACCAUGUAACCUCCCUUGAGGAUCAUGGAACUACGUCCAUCAACCAUACAGGGCACCACCAUUUAACCUCCCUUGAGGACCAUGGAAUUACGUCCAAUAAUUUUAUUUCAAAAGACCACAAACAACUCAACAAGUCAUACAAAUCACAUGAAACCAUUCAAUAUACAUUAACAAACAAUAACAGUCCAAGAAGAACCACUAAACAAUCCAAUACCCCUUAAAACUCAUACUUAGACAAGGAAAACAACUUUGAAACCAUCACCAACAGUUCCAUAACGGUCCAAAACCCCCAAAGCGACCUAAAGAACGUCCAAAAAUGAUACCCGGAACCCCAAAAGUACAUUUAUUAAUAUAUCACCAAAAUUUGGAAGGAUCAACUACAUUUGGAAGGAUCAACUACAUUUGGACAAGUUGCUACUGCCGAGAUGAUCAUAGGCAUGUACGACACGCCUCCUGCACAUAGGUGGACCAUGGAUGAAUUUAACAACGUGGUGGCUUGGCUAGAGCAUAUGUAGGGCAGUGGAUCUAGACCAGUUGAAGCUCCAGAUAUGGAGGAUGAUGAUGAUGAUGAGGAUUUCGAGGAUGCUGAGGAUGAAGAUGAGGAGGAUUUCGAUGAUAAUAUGGGUUGAGGAGCAGACAUGACAUCUACUGAUGGAUGUCAUCUACAACAGAACAUGAUUUUUCUUUAUCAUUUUGCUUUGUAAUUUGAACUUAUAUUUCCUUCAGUUGAGUAGUGUAGGGUUGAUGUACUUGGUUUGAUAUCUUAUCCGAUGCAGUGGUUUGAUUGAUGAUUUUGUGUGUUGAUGAUGAUACUUUGAUAUUGGUGAUGUUGAGUGUGCACAAUAUAUGUUGUUAUACAGGUGGUGGUUCACAAGCUAUGUGAACAGAUGCAUGAUGAGAUUGUGAUUGUGAUUAUGAUGCUAAGCAGGAUGUUUAUCUAGAAUAUCUGGAAUAAUGAUUGAGCUUAUGAGUGAGGUUUUAAACUCCAGAGUUUGUGAUUGUAUGAUUGCUAUCUAUUUGAAAGCAUGAAUGAUUUUGCCCAAUUUUAUAUGAUUGACUGAAUUAUAUGCAUUUCAUGUGAUAAGGCCAUUUUUGAAUUAUCCCUUUCUUAGCCAAUGCAUAAAAGUUUCAUUCCUAUUCAAAAGAACACCAUGUGUUUUUACCCUUUUUGAACCUAAGCCUUAAAUAGGAUGAAAAACCUUUUUGAAAAAUCUUUACCUUGAGUUAAGUUGAGAAUUGUUGUAUGGUAUUGAUAAAGGUUCAAGUUUAGGGUUGUUGAGAAUGUUAAAAAAAAAAGGGAAAGAAAAGCAUUGAGCUAAGGUGUUGAGAAAAGCAUGAAGGAUGAAAAAGAUAUAAAAGAUAGAAUGUAAAAGAAAGAUAAGCUCAAUGCAAAAAGGGGAAAGUUGGGAAUGAGAUUGAUUGGUAAAGAGAGUUUGUGCUUGAAUUAUGAAUGUUUGAAUAACUCUCUUAACUCAAGGAUUUUGUGAUCUAGAAAAACCAAUUUUUCUUGUUAGCCCAAGCCACAUUAUAAGCCUUGAAAAAGUCCUUGUGAUGACAUGUGUAUGUGAGAAUGUUGAUUGUGAUAAAUGAAAGGCAAUUUUGUUCUAUGUGACAUGUGGAUAGUAGAGGGCAAGAGUGACCACUAUACACCUUUGAGUGAAACGCUUUUGAGUGCUUGAGUGAAACACUUAUGAGUGCUUGAGUGUAACACUUUAUCUGGUAAGGAAAAAUUCCACGAAUCUAUGAUUGCAUCUAUGAUUAGCUAAUUGAUUAUUCAUGAGAAUAACAUAUGUUGGAUAUUAUACGAUUGUGUGAAUACCCUGAUAAGAACUAAGAAUCAAAGUGUGCAUCUUGACUGAAAUCUAUGGAUAAGUUGAAUUGGGUGAUUACUUGUCUUGAAAGAAAGAGUUGUGAAUGUGAUUGAACCACUGUGAUGAUUGAUGGAAGACUAAGUUUCAUCUUGCUUGCUUGAGGACAAGCAAAGUUCUAAGUUUGGGUUGUAAUAACGGUUCAAAAACUGUUAUUUUUAUACUUAAAUUUGACAUUAAACACAACCUUUAUGACUUAGAAUUAGCUUGAAAUCAUGCAAUUUGCUUAAGUUAGAGAAUAAGAGAGUCAAAGUUGGUUUUCUUGGUUUUAUGCUUGGUUUUUCCAUGAUUUGGUAGGAUUUAUUAGGAAUUGAAUGAAGGAAGUUGAAGAAGAUAGGAGUUGGACUUAAGAGAAGGAGGAAAAGUGAAGAAAAGAAGAGUCGUAGCUACCGCCGGGCGGUGAACCCACCACUGGGCAGUGUAAUUUCUAGAGAACCCUUUGCCAGACACUCAAGCGACACCGCUGAGGGGUGAAUUCAACUGCCGACCUCGCCGCCGGGCGGUGAAGCCACCUCUGGGCGGUGGAACCUUCAGUGAACUUUCUAGCCAAUGCUCAGGCGGCAACGCUGAAGGGUGAUAUGAAGUGUCGAACAUACUGCCGGGCGGUGGACUCUUGGGCCUGUGCUAGUUUCUGUUUCGUUUUAAUAAUUUAUAAACGGAUUUGGACGACCUAGAUGGUCUAUCUUUUGGCAGAAAGAACGCAAAAACACUCUCUUCACUCCUUGGAGGUGGAUUUUGGAUGUGGAAGCUCCAAUUUGUCAAUUCUAGGGUUAUCUUUUCAUAUUUUUCAUUCUUUCCAUCUAGUUUCACAAUGAUUAUGGUGAACUAAACCCCUUUUAUUGUUGGGGGAAACGAUGUGAUCCUAUUCAAACUCUCAUAUAUUGAAAUUCUUACUUUAUUCAUAUGUUUUCUUUUAUCAAUUGUUAGAGUUUUUCCUCCAUUAUAUUUGCAUGCUUUGUUUAAGACAUUAUUCAAUGCCAUAACCUUUGAUUCUAUCUAUAUGGAGACGUGUGGGUAGGUCUAGACAUGAGGGAAUUCUCUUGAUAGCAAUAUUACCUAGACAUAGGGAUAGGAGGACCAAUUGGCUUAAGCUUCUGUGCGAAUUAUGUAAUGCAUAAUUAAUUUCUAGGUGGACUAGACAUAGUAAACUAGGAAUUAGGAGUAGACUCUAUUCACCAAGAUAUUGGAAUUAGGGGAAUUUAGAAAGUGGCACUAACAUUGAUAAAGAAGUAUAAUUUAGUAGAAUUUGUAAAUAUAUGAGAGUGGAAUAAGAUGAAAUCAUAAACCCCAACAACACCAUUCAUUCAUAUAGUUCAACUGUCAAUUGAUCAAUCUUUGCAUGCAUGUUUAUUUUCUGUUUUGCAUUUAAAACCCUAAUUUAUGUUCCAUCAAGUCUUAAGAAAUCAAGAAUUCACACAAAAGUUUAGGCCUAAGAGUCUCUAGGGAAACGUUACUCAGACUUACCGUUUAUUAUUACUUGAUACGAUUCGGUACACUUGCCAAACCCUUAAGAGUAGAUCUAGACAUGGGGGAAUUCUCUUGGGAGAAAUAUUACCUAGACAUAGGGAUAGGAGAGCAAUGCAAAAAGGGGAAAUUGGGAAUGAGAUUGAUUGAUUAAAGAGAGUUUAUGCUUGAAUGAUUAAUGUAAGAAUGACUCUCUUAACUAAAGGAUUUUUGUGAUCUAGGAAAACCAAUUUUUCUUGUUAGCCCAAGCCAGUUUAUAAGCUUUGAAAAAGUCCCUGUGAUGUCAUGUGCGUGUCUGAGAAUGUUGAUUAUGGUAAAUGAAAGACAAUUUUGUUCUAUGUGACAUGUGAAUAGUAGAAGGAAGGAGUGGCCUUUUGUUAAGUCCCUAGCAAGUGUACCUGAUCGUUAUCAAGUAAUAUAAAAUGGGUAAGUCCAAGUAUCGUUUCCCAAAGGACUCUUAGGCCUUAACUUUUGUGUAACCUAAUUGCCCCCCAAUGAGAAUGGGAACAAGCUAAGCUUUACUCUCUCGUAUGAUACACCUGCCAUCUUCACUGUGUUGUAGAUUUCACUAAACGUUGUCAAAUGGUCAUAUGGGUUUUCAUUUGACAAUCCGUGAAACUGGUUGCUUUCCACCAGGUGUAUAAGCAUUGGAUUCAUCACCAUAUUAGUUGUUUGAUCUGUAGGCAUUGUUAUGCUGUUAAAAUGGAAAGGGCCAACAACAUUAGACUGAUCUGCAAGAGUGCGUCUUGGAGGAGUUUGUCUGGCCAUCUCCUCUGCUCUUCGAACUGGUGAAGGUGAUAGUAAUCUGUCAGGAGAAGGAAACAAAUCCCUAGAUGGGAGUCUGACCCUCCUUCUUCACCUUGUCUCACUUUAGCCUUCAAUAAGAGGUUGCGUAUUUUUCUUUCUCCUAGUAUGUCUAGUCUCCUGUUGCAUGCACAAGAAACACAAACCCUAGUAGCACUUUUAUAUAAAAAUAAAAAUAAAACAAAAACAAAAACAAAAACACAAUAUAUACAAUCAAGUCAAAUUUAAUCAAGUUACACUACUAGAUAAGUUAAACCACGAUUCCCCGGCAACGGCUCCAAAAACUUGUUAAGUCCCUGGCAAGUGUACCAGAUUGUUAUCAAGUAAUAUAAAAUGGGUAAGUCCAAGUGUCGUUUCCCAAAGGACUCUUAGGCCUUAACUUUCGUGUAAACUAAUUGCGUAAUACUUGAGAAGAAAUUGAUUUUAAGUUUUUAAAUGCAAAAACAAAAGUAAACAUGCAAAUACAGUGAAUCAAUGGUUGAGGAAAAACUAUGGAUGAAUGAUGUUGUUAGGGUUUACAAUUUCAUCUUAUCCACCCUCAAAUAUCUACUCUUUUUAUUUAAUUCGCUUAUUUAUCAUAUUGCCAUGCAAANUUUCUUAGUCUACCCUUAACCCAAUUCCUUGGCGAAAAGAGCCUAUUACUAAUUACCGGCUUGCUAUCUCUAGCCUCCCCUAGUAACUAAUAAUGCAUAAUAAACGGAAGUAAAAUACAAUUGAUCGUUCUACCCCUAUCUCUAGGCGGUAUUAGCAUAAUCAAGGAAUUUCCUCUAGUUCAUGACAUUACUGUACGUCUCCGUAUCAAUAAAGACCAACAACAUUUAUCGAAUGAGUUAAACGAUAAAAGCAUUAAAUUCAGGUAAGGAACCCAGCAAUUGAUAAAUCAAGCAUAUGCAAGCAUAUGAAUUAAAUAAGAAUUUGGAUAUAUGAGAGUUUCAAAAGAUUACAUUGUUUCCCAACAACAAAGGGUUUAGUUCACCAUUAUCAUGAUGAAACUAGAUGAAAUACAAUGGAAGAAUGAAAGGAUAAACCCUAGAUUGAGUAGUUUGNAAAGGGUUUAGUUCACCAUUAUCAUGAUGAAACUAGAUGAAAUACAAUGGAAGAAUGAAAGGAUAAACCCUAGAUUGAGUAGUUUGGAGCCUAAGCAUCCAAAGAACAGCCUCCAAGGUGUGUAGAGCUGCUGUGGACGUUUCCCUCUGCCAAAGAUUCAGGUUUUAAGUCGUACUGGGGUUAUUUAUAAUACAGAAAAAUAAUAGAAUUUAAGCCCAAGCCUAGCAGACAACCGCUCAGCGCCCUAUUUGAUUGCUCAACGAUUUGCCUCUAAUCGUUCUGGGCGCUCAGCGGUCCGUUUUGGCGCUCAGCAGUUCCUUUGGCUCUUCUUUUCAUUCUUUUUCUUCAUCUUUCACGAGCACAAGUUCACCUUACUUCACUUCCAUCUUCAAAUUACCUCAAAACCCUGCAAAACAAUGUAAAACCAAGCAUAAUACCUCUAAAACCAACUUUUGACUCUCAAUGACUCAACUAAUUGUUUUACUUAAUUUUAAGCUCAUUCUAAGCCAUAAAGGGUGUGUUUUAAUAUCAAAUUUAAGCAUGAAAAUAACGAUGUUUAGACUGUUAUCACAACCCCAAACUUAGAACUUUGCUUGUCCUCAAGCAAACAAGACAAAACUUGGCUUUCCACUUCUUCUUCAAAUGGUUCAACAUUUUCAAAAAUCCUUUUUCUUACAAGUUAUUUAUUCAAUUUAGAUCUUCAGUGGAAUCCUAUCAAGAUGCAUGCAUGCUUUCAAUCCAAUUCAGUUCACAUAAGUACAUAUUUCCUAACAGAUGUUUCAUUUUUUAAUGAUCAAUCCACUAAGCAUAGAUGUAAACAUGGAUUUCAACAAUUCUCACCAAGCAAGUGUUUCACUCAAUCUCUCAAGUGUUUGAAAGGUCACUCCAUCUUUUACUGUUCACAUGUCACAUAAAACAACAUUGCCAUUCAUCUAAAAUAAUCAAAAUCCUCACAUGCAAAUCCUAUCACAAGGACUUUUGCAAAGCUUGUAAUAAGGCUGGGCUAUCAAGAAAAAUUGGUUUUUUCGGAAUACAAAAUCCUUGAGUUAAAGGAGUUAUUUUAACAUUCAAUGUUCAAGCACAACUCUCUUUUUCACCAAUCUCACUCCUUCCCAACUUCUUCCCUUUUCUUUUAUUUUUACAUUGAGCUCAUCUUUCAUGCUUUUUUUUCAUGCGUUUUUCUUUUUCAACACUUGAGCUCAAUGCUACUCUUUUGCCAUUCAACUUUCCCCAUACAACCCAAAACUUGAACCUUUUCAACACAUGCAAUUAAUCUCAACCCAACUCAAGGUCAAUAAUUUUGAAUCAAGGGUUUUCAUCCUGUUUAAGGCUAAGGUUCAAAAAGGGUAUAAUAUUUUAAUCACUUUGGGUAAAAAUAUGGCUAAGUAAGGGCUUCCAAACAUGGCCUUAAUCAUAUGACAUAAACAUGCAAUUCAAUCAAUUAUCAAGAUUCAGGCAAUAUAAUUCAUGAUUUCCUAUGAACAGUACAUACAUCAGUGAAAACUCUGGAGCUCAAAACCUCACACAACAUGCUUUCUCACACAUCAUUCAUGCAUCCUGCUUAGCAUCACAAUCUCAAUCAUAAACCAUUAUACAUCUGUUCACAUAACUAGUGAAACAUUUACCUGGAUAUCAACAUGCACGCAGUUUCAAUCAUCAACCACAUUCAAUCAUCAUCAUUGAAUAACUCAUCAUGCAAUAUAAAGUCAAACCAUCAUUAGAACCAGUGUACAAGCCAAGCAUAGACACAAAACAUAAAGUUCACCUAAUCUAAAAAUUACAAGUACAAAAGAAAAAGAAAAACAUGGGUUGCCUCCCAAUAGCGCUUGUUUAACGUCACGAGCCUGACCCAAACCUAUUUAACACUCAUUAGUAAGUGCCUACCUUUCCAACACCCUUCAGUAGGUGUGCUAUUAAGUCCCUGGCAAGUGUACCAGAUCGUUAUCAAGUAAUAUAAAUGGGUAAGUCCGAGUAUCGUUUUCCCAAAGGACUCUUAGGCCUUAACUUUCAUGUAACCUAAUCUUGUAAGACUUGAGAAAAGAGAAUAAAUUUGGUGGGGGUAUGCAAUGAACAAAAAAUAAACAUGCAAUGCAAUUGAUUCAAUUGGUUUUGAGAAAAUAUGGAUGAAUGGUGUUGUUAGGGUUUACAAUUUCAUCUUAUCCACUCUCACAUAUCUACUCUUCUUGUUUAAUUCACUUGUUUAUCUAAUUGCCAUGCAUACUUUCUUAAUUACCCUUAACCCAAUUCCUUGGUGAAAAGAGUCUAUUACUAAUUACCGGCUUGCUAUCCCUACCCUCCCCUAGUAACCAAUAAUGCAAUGCGUUCUGAAGCAAAUGCAAUUGACUGUCCUACCCCUAUCCCUAGGCGAUAUUGGCAUAAUCAAGGAAUUUCCCACCAGUUCAUGACAUUACUGUACGUCCCCAUAUCGAUAAAGACAAACAUCAUUUACUGAAUGGGUUAAACAAUAAAAGCAUUAAGCGCAAGUGAGAACCCAACAAUUGAUAAACAAGUAUAUGACAAGCAUAUGAAAUAAAUAAGAAUUUCAAUAUAUGAGAGUUUCAAAAGAUUACAUUGUUCUCCAACAACAAAGGGUUUAGUUCACCAUAAUCAUGGUGAAACUAGAUGAAAAUAAUGAAAGAAUGGAAGAAAUAACCCUAAACUUGGUUGAAUGGAGCCUAAGCAUCCAAGGAACCUCCUCCAAGGUGUGUGGAAUAGCUCUGGACGAUCUCUCUGCCAAAAGAAUCCCUAUCUAAUUUGCACUAGGACUAUAUAUAAGCCCAAAAAGAUAACAGAUAGAUAAUAGAAAGAUUUAUAGAAUCUAGGUAAAAAAACAGACAACCGCCCAGGCGCCUAAUUUGACCGCUUAGUGGUUUGCCUCUAGCCGCUCUGACCGCUCAGCGGUCAGUUUUGCCGCUGAGCGGUUUCCCUCUAAUAGCUCUGAGCGCUCAGCGGACCAUUCUGGCGCUCAGCGGCUUGUUUGACCCCUUUCUUUCAUCAUUUUUCUCCUUCUUUCAUGGGUCUAAGUCCACCUUACUUCACUUCCAUCUUUAAUUCAUCCAAAAACCCUGCAAAACAAUGCAAAACAAGCAUAAUAUCUCUAAAACCAACUUUUGACUCUCAAGAGACUCAACUAAGUAUUUUACAUUAUUUAAAGCUCAUUCUAAGCCUCAAAGGGUAUGUUUUACUAUCAAAUUUAAGCAUGAAAGUAACGAUUUUUGGACCGUUGUCAUGUGCUUACCUGUAUCCUUUAGUAGAUACAUAUAAAAUUCUAGCAUCCCUUAGUAGAUGCUACCCAAAAAAUGUUUAAAAUUCCAAAAAGUUACAUGUCCAAAAUCUAAUAACCUAAAACUAAAAUUGUUUUACAACAAGUAGGAUUAAAUCAAAUAUCUUCAAGUCUUUCCAUCCCGGUUGGGGUCUUCAUCUAUCCAACUCAUCAGUUGCCUUCUAUCCACUCUUCUGACAGCUUUGGUAUAUGGUCUUUGUCUCUCAUCAUGAUUCUUCCAUCAUGGACACUAAUAAACAUCUUUGACGUUGCCAUGAAAGGUCUUCCAAGAAUCAUUGGAAUCCUCUCCUCAUUUUCCAUGCCCAUAACUAUAAAUUCAGCCAAAAAUUCUAGCUGCUCCACACGCACAACUACAUUUUCCACCAUACCAAAUGGUGUUUUAAUGGAACCAUCCGCCACCGUCAUAGUAAGAUUAGACGGUUUUAAUGCUAGCCCUCCAAUUUUCCUCAAGAAACGCUUGUGCAUCAUGUUAAUGCUAGAUCUAGAAUCUAUCAUGGCUCCUCCUAUAUCAACAUCAUUCACAAUACAUGAAAGAGUCAAACAACCUGGAUCUUUUACUUUGGGCGGAUAAUUCUUCUUUGGAGGUUGAAUAUCAAAUUCCUGCUCCUCUUCAUCUUCAUCUAAAUCUAUUGUAUCUCCAAGAUAAUAUUUUAUUCUUUCAGCAUAUGCAUAAAUCUGUUGGAUUACUGAAGGCACUACAGUCACUUGAUUAAAGAUUUCUCUAAUUUGCCCAUUGUGACUGAAUCUUGCUUCCUCUUCUUCCUCACCUUCACUACUAUCUAGCCCAACAAUUUCUUUUUCCUCUUCUUCCUCAUCACUACUUCCAAUCUCCACAUCUUCCCUUUUAGCCUUUCUUUUACUCAACUUUGCAUUCCUCUUUAGGGUUAACAUCAAUGUUAGCCCUAAAUUGGUUCUUCUCAGUGGUUUCUACCCUCUUUGACAACUGACCAAUUUGCAUCUCCAGGGAUCUGAAACUAGCUUGGUCACUUGCAUGAUUAGAUUCAUACACCUUCAGGAAUUUGUCAAAUCUCGCAUUUAAGUCCCUAACAAAUUUUGUCAAGUGAGUAACAUGUUGCCACAUAGGUGAGGGUUGCUGCGGCCUGAAACCACCUGUUUGCCCUGAUGGGUUGUUCUGUGUCUGACCAAUACUAGGAUGGUUCUUCCAACCUUGGCUAGAAUUGCCUUGGUUGAAGUUUCCCUGCCUGUACUAGAACUGAUUCCCCAUGUAAUUGGCUUCCUGCUGCAUCUCCUAAGGCAAAGCACAUUGACCAUUGAUAUGGUCACCACCACAGAAAUCACAUAGCUGUUGCGUUUGGGAGACAUUACGCAUCUCCUUAGGAAGCUGUGAAAUAAUCUUUGUCAAGUUGUCUAGCUUUUGAGUCAGAAGAUGGUUCUGAGCUAGCAUGGCAUCAUCUGCGAUUCCUCUCUCCUAUAUAGGUGUGCCCCUUUCACUGACUAUUUCCUGCUCAUUAGCAGCCAUAUUCUCUAUCAAGUCAUAGGCUUCAUCUUCAGUCUUCUGCUUGAUAUCACCUCCAGCUGAGGCAUCCAACAUCAUCUUAGAUUGCAUGUUCAGUCCACCUAGGUAAGCAAGAACUAAGGUUGUCUUGUCAAACCCAUGGACUGGUGUCUUCCUUAGUAGGCCUUUGAAUUUUUCCCAUGCUUGACCUAGAGUCUCUUCCAUGCCUUGCUUGAAUGAUGAGAUCUCCAGUCUUCCCUGAGUAAAUUUAGACUGUGGAAAAUAUUUAUUAACAAACUUUGUAGCCACAGUCUCCCAUGUUGUAAACGUCCCUUCAGGGAAGGAAUUCAGCCACGUCUUAGCGUUGCCCCCCAAUGAGAAUGGGAACAAGCUAAUCUUUACUCUUUCAUUUGAUACACCUGCCAUCUUCAUUGUGUUGCAGAUUUCACUAAACGUUGUCAAAUGCUCAUAUGGGUUUUCAUUUGACAAUACGUGAAACUGGUUGCUUUGCACCAGGUGUAUAAGCGUUGGAUUCAUCACCAUAUUAUUCGUUUGAUCCGUAGGCAUGGCUAUGCUGUUAAAAUGGAAAGGGCCAACAACAUUAGACUGAUCUACAAGAGUGCGUCUUGGAGGAGUUUGUCCAGCCAUCUCCUCUGCUCUUCGAACUAGUGAAGGUGAUAGUAAUCUGUCAAGAGAAGGAAAUAAAUCCCUAGAUGGACGUCUGACCCUCCUUCUUCCCCUUGUCCCACUUAAGCCUUCAAGAAGAGGUUGCGUAUUUUUCUUACUCCUAAUAUGUCUAGUCUCCUGCUGCAUGCACAAGAAACACAAACCCUAAUAACACUUUUAUAUAAAAAUAAAAAUAAAACAAAAACAAAAACAAAAACACAAUAGAUACAAUCAUGUCAAAUUUAAUCAAGUUACACUAUUAGAUAAGUUAAACCCUGAGUCCCCGCCAACGGUGCCAAAAACUUGUUAAGUCCCUGGCAAGUGUACCAGAUCGUUAUCAAGUAAUAUAAAAUGGGUAAGUCCAAGUAUCGUUUCCCAAAGGACUCCUAGGCCUUAACUUUCGUGUAACCUAAUUGCGUAAGACUUGAGAAGAAAUUGAUUUUAAGUUUUUAAAUGCAAACACAAAAGUAAACAUGAAAAUGCAGUGAAUCAAUGGUUCAAGAAAAACUAUGGAUGGAUGGUGUUGUUGGGGUUUACAAUUUCAUCUUAUCCACCCUCAAAUAUCUACUCUUCAUAUUAAAUUCUCUUAUUUAUCAUAUUGCCAUGCAAACUUUCUUGGUCUACCCUUAACCUAACUCCUUGGUGAAAAGAGCCUAUUACUAAUUACCGGCUUGCUAUCUCUAGCCUUCCCUAGUAACUAAUAAUAAAUAAUAAACAGAAGCAAAAUACAAUUGAUCGUCCUACCCCUAUCUCUAGGCGGUAUUAGCAUAAUCAAGGAAUUCCCCCCAGUUCAUGACAUUACUGUACGUCUCUGUAUCAAUAAAGACAAACAACAUUUACUGAAUGAGUUAAACGAUAAAAGCAUUAAAUUCAGGCAAGGAACCCAACAAUUGAUAAAUCAAGCAUAUGCAAGCAUAUGAAUUAAAUAAGAAUUUGGAUAUAUGAGAGUUUCAAAAGAUUACAUUGUUCCCCAACAACNNAGGGUUUAGUUCACCAUUAUCAUGNUGAAACUAGAUGAAAUACAAUGGAAGAAUGAAAGNAUAAACCCUAGAUUGAGUAGUUUGGAGCCUAAGNAUCCAAAGAACAACCUCCAAGGUGUGUAGAGCUGCUGUGGACGUUUCCCUCUGCCAAAGAUUUAGGUUUUAAUUCGUACUGGGGCUAUUUAUAAUACAAAAAAAUAAUAGAAUUUAAGCCUAAGCCCAGCAGACAACCGCUCAACACCUAAUCUAACCGCUCAGCGGUUUGCCUCUAAUCGUUCAACCGCUCAGCGCCCUAUUUGAUCGCUCAGCGGUUUGCCACCAAUCGUUCUGGGCGCUCAGCGGUUCGUUUUGGCGCUCAACGGUUCCUUUGGCUCUUCUUUUCAUCCUUUUUCUUCAUCUUUCACGAGCACAAGUCCCCCUUACUUCACUUCCAUCUUCAAAUCACCUCAAGACCCUGCAAAACAAUGUAAAACCAAGCAUAAUACCUUUAAAACCAACUUUUGACUCUCAAUGACUCAACUAAUUGUUUUACUUGAUUUUAAGCUCAUUCUAAGCCAUAAAGGUUGUGUUUUAAUAUCAAAUUUAAGCAUGAAAAUAACGGUUUUUAGACCGUUAUCACCUUUAUACACUUUUGAGUGCUUGAGUUAUACAUUUUUGAGUGUUUGAGUGUUAAACUGCUUUUUAGUCUCCUAAAGCAGAAGAAAAUUUGUCCCGACUAAUGUAGGAUAGGGAUGACCAAGAUAUCAAUCCGUAGACUGGACAAAGUUGAGUUUAAAGUGUUUGGUAAAAAUCUUGCUUUUUUAUUUACUAAUUAUUUACUAUUAAACUAGGUAGGGACAAUAAAAUAAUGAAAUAAAAAAAGUAAAAAAAAAUAAAACUAACAUAUAAAGACUGUUUAAAAGAAAGAAAAUGGAAUGAAAGAAUAGCACCUAAACUAAAAAAAAUGCAAUACUGAAGUUAGAAUGAUCUAAACUAAUGAAUCUAAAUAUGCAAAGUAAGGAAACCUAGAUACUAAACAAAUGAAAUCAAUGAACUAAUGAAUCUCUUAGUUAUAUACCUAUUCUAGAAAUCUAAAUGUAAAUGCAAAGACAAUAUUAUCACAUAACAGUAACUAAAUUCAAGCAAUUAAAAGCUAAACUAUUACCAACCAAUUAAAAGAUCCUAACAACAACUAUUUACUAAAAUUCAACAUUUCACAAACUUAGAACUUGUACCUAAAAGUAAACAAAAAUGCAAUACAAAGCCUAGAACCAGUAUGAGCGAAAAGGAAAUUUAACGAUAGAAUCCAAGACUGAAACAGAAUAAUACCAAAUCAGAAAAUGUAACCGGCACAAAUCAACUAAUUAAAAUUCCAAGAAAACAAAACAGAAUCAAAGUCUAUUACAAACAAGAGCAAGAUAACAAUCACAAAAGCAGAAUGGAAUAAUAGGUAAAAUGCACAUUGGUGUGAAUAAAAGAGUGUUACGAAUUCUCAGGAAGACAUCCUGAUAAUGUGAAUCCCAAUCCAGGUAUUCUAGGUCAUAUUUCUGACCUUAAUUUGAUUCUUUUCCACUAAUUUGUUCAACCAUUGUCUAUUUGCCUAUUCUUUAAUCUAAAAUUAACAACCUAAAGUCAUAUCUAAAUCAACAGAAAACAUAAAGAACUCACAGAAUCCAAAGUAAAAUCUACAACAAGAACAAUAAAAGGAAUCAGAAUUUGCAUUAAACUUUGAAGAUGAAAGUACAAGAAACCAGAAAUCACCGAAAAUCACGGCCUGUCACCCUCGCAACUCGGCGAAAUCCAGAAUCGAAGAAAAGUGCAAUAAACACUACCCUAUGAAAGCGAUAAACCUACACUACUCUCUCACUCGCAAUCUCGCUCUCGCUAAUCGUCUCUCACUCGUUCGCGGAGUCUGUCACCCUCCGCGAUUCCCGCCGUCUAAAACUAUUACAAUCCCUUUUUAUAGGAAAACUAAAGUAUAGGGGAAAAGGGAAAAACCAACUUUGCGAUUCCUCUUCUUUUCGAACUCCUUCUUUCUUUCUCUACCCUCCGAUAUUCAUCUCUCUGUGAUCAACGCCCUAACACGUGUAGUUCCUCUAACUCACUCAAUCUCUUUAGGUAAGCAACCUCUCGAGCUCUGUCCUCUCUCUGGCUUCAGGAAACCUAACUCAAGGGUAAUCCAAUUUUUUAGGAGCUUCUGCUUUGUUCGAGCAGCACAUAUGCCAGCAGAUGCAACACAUAAUGAUACAUUGCGUUUCAAUUAAUCCCCAGGACCAAAAAUGUUGUCGUUCCAUAUGAAGAAAUCAGCCCUCCUUUUGUUCACCAGGUGAUAAGCUGUCGUUGGAGCUAUCAAAUUAAUACUACUUUUCAAGGAAACUUCAGUAUUACCAAGUAGUAUUCAAGAAAAUAGAUAGGGCUAAAGUAACCCUGAGUCGUCUCCCAACGAACACGAAAUUGCUUUCGAAUAUCUGACUCUUAUGAAUGUUAUGCAAUGCUUUUGAAUAAAGUGAGAAUGUUUAAAGAAUGUUGUAGAACAAAGAAGAAACUUAAAAAAAAUUAUGAAGAAACAAGCUAAUUCCACUGCUUUUUUCAAAAUAGAUUCAUCAUUGGUUAUUCACAGAUCAUUGUUUAAUUGAUUAUUGUUUAAGUUUUAAAUUAAUUAAAGUACAUUCUUAAUUAAUUUGAGGGCGGUCAUGUAGUUAAUCAAAGUACAUUCUCAAUCAAUUGCAAGACCUUUCUAGAUUAUUCACAAUAAAUUCAAUUAAAGUACAUUCUCAAUCAAUUUUAUUGUGUUUAAUCAUGUCAAUUCUUAAAUCUCCUAACCAAUUUAAAAGCUAACCAAUCAAAGUAAAUUUUCAAUUGAUUAUAGUUGAAAUUAGUACUACCAACCAAAGUACAUUCUCAAUUGAUAAUAAAAACCAUUUAAUCAUAUGAAAAUUCCUAAAUUCAAUCAAAGAAAAUUCUCAAUUAAACUUAGAAACCAUAAGACUCAUAUAAAUAAUAUGCAUGUAAAUUCAAACAGAUUUUGAUGCAAAAAUCUUUGCUUUUAAUAUUAUAGAGAGAUGAAAGACAUAGAGAGAGAACAACUUAAAUCAAUAAUCAAAAUAAACAAUUGCGUUAAUUCACUUAACCUCAGAAUCCAUAAUGAAAUUACAGCAGAAUAGCCCUAAAUGCUUAGCUCUCUAGGAAUGAAGUUGAAUACCUGAUGAAAUAAAAGAGAGGGAGGAGGAGUGGUGGAUGAAUGAAUGAAGUCCCUUGGAUCUCUUUAUAUAUAGGCUUGAUUGGGCUUGGACUUUGAAUCUUCUGUUGAUAAAAUAUUUUAUCUUAAUCUAAUAUCUUUCAAAUAUUCACCAUAUUUAAUUAGUAUUUUUCUUUAGAAUAUUUGAUAAAAUUUUUCCUAGAUAAAAAGAUUUGGCAAAUAUUAUCUUUUGAUAUUUAUUNNNNNNNNNNNNNNNNNNNNNNNNNNNNNNNNNNNNNNNNNNNNNNNNNNNNNNNNNNNNNNNNNNNNNNNNNNNNNNNNNNNNNNNNNNAGAAUCACAUUUUAAGCAUCUUUAAUUCCCAAACCCAAUAAAUCCAAUCGUCAUAAAUUCACAUUAAAUCAAUCAUUUAAGCACAAGAAUCUCAUAAAAAAUUUGAAUUCUAAAACAUAAAUGUGGGUAUAAAUAUGCACUCAUCACACCCCCACACUUAUCCUUUUGCACUCCUGGGCAAAAUUGAUUAAUUUCAAAAGUUUGUUCUGGGCCAUUUUAUUCCAUAUUUGCAUUUGAAUCAAAAGAAUGAACAAUACUGGAUAUAGAUCAAUCAUCUAAACAUCACUUUGUCAUGGACAUGCAAAUGAAAUCACUUUAUUUUUCACACAUGAGUUAACCUUUUUUUAAUUCCCAAGAAAAUCAAAUAUGAAAGAUAACACUCAAGUCAAAAUGUAUCUAUUUCUCUCCAAAUCUCUCAAGUGUUUUUGGCUUGUGUUUACACUCAAAAUACCUAUAUAAGUAGACACCCUUGGUAUUUAGCAAGACUCUAACAUUCACAUACUUUUAGAAAACAUGCAAUUAUUGAUCAUGAGGGCUUUUUAAGGGUUAUAUUGAGGCCAAGGCAAAGGUAGGAAAUUUUCUAUGGAAUUUCUGGGUUUUUGAAAUUGAUAUAGAAAGAGUAAUGACACUUUAUUUCAAAAACAACCUUAUUUCUCGCUCUUUUUAGGAAGAUUUUUUUUUCUCUUUUUUUUUCAUCAUUUUUUUCAACAUUUCAACUUUUCAUCUUCCUUUUUGCCUUCCCUUUUUUUUAAUGAUGUGGUGAGACACUCACCCACACACUUAUUCAUCACUUACUUAUAUCACAAUCCAUUACUCCUUCUUUCAUAUGGUUUUCCUUCUUCUUUUUCAUUUGACAAUUACUAGAAACAAGAAAAAUAGUCUUAAGGGUCAAAGGGGUUUCCAAUGGAUUAAUGUUAAGGUAAGUUUAUUUGGCCAAUUAGCUAAAACAAGAAAGGCCUCAAUCAUAUCAAAUCAUGCAUAUUCACCUCAGUUGCACAACAUAGAAUCAAGCUAAAUAUUAAAGUAUCAUCAAAACAUGGGCAAAUCACUCAAGAAAAAUAGGUAUGGCACAUGAUGGUCCAUCCUUAUUAUUAGGCUCAAAACACACAUGGUUCAAAUUUCUUUCACAAAAGAUUUAAUUAGGGAAUUCUUAAGUCAACUCAAU
rnacentral:lncRNA from 1 species